rnacentral:rRNA from 1 species
AACGAACGCUGGCGGCAGGCUUAACACAUGCAAGUCGAGCGCCCCGCAAGGGGAGCGGCAGACGGGUGAGUAACGCGUGGGAAUCUACCCAUCUCUACGGAAUAACGCAUGGAAACGUGUGCUAAUACCGUAUACGUCCUUCGGGAGAAAGAUUUAUCGGAGAUGGAUGAGCCCGCGUUGGAUUAGCUAGUUGGUGGGGUAAAGGCCUACCAAGGCGACGAUCCAUAGCUGGUCUGAGAGGAUGAUCAGCCACACUGGGACUGAGACACGGCCCAGAAUACUACGGGAGGCAGAAGUGGGGAAUAUUGGACAAUGGGCGAAAGCCUGAUCCAGCCAUGCCGCGUGAGUGAUGAAGGCCCUAGGGUUGUAAAGCUCUUUCACCGGUGAAGAUAAUGACGGUAACCGGAGAAGAAGCCCCGGCUAACUUCGUGCCAGCCGCCGCUGUAACAC